rnacentral:rRNA from 1 species
AGCGAACGCUGGCGGCAGGCUUAACACAUGCAAGUCGAGCGGGCAUCCUUGUCGUGUCAGCGGCAGACGGGUGAGUAACGCGUGGGAACGUGCCCUUUGGUUCGGAAUAACUCAGGGAAACUUGAGCUAAUACUGGAUACGCUCCUUUGGGGAAAGGUUUACUGCCGAAGGAUCGGCGCGCGUCUGAUUAGCUAGUUGGUGAGGUUAUGGCUCACCAAGGAGAGGAUCAGUAGCUGGUCUGAGAGGAGGAUCAGCCACACUGGGACUGAGACACGGACCAGACUCGUACGGGAGGGAGCGGAGGGGAAUAUUGUGGGAUGGGGGCAACCCUGGUCCAGCCAUGCGGGGUGAGUGAUGCCGGCCUUAGGGUUGUAAAGCUCUUUUCUCCGGGACGAUAAUGACGGUACCGGAGGAAUAAGCCCCGGCUAACUUCGUG